AUGUUGUGUUUAAGGUCACACAAGGAAAGUGAUGGAGCCUGUAUGUUCACUGUGGACUCCGAAGCCACUGGGCUUUGUCAUGUUGCCCUCUGCUCCCACCGUCCCAUAAUAGAGAAAGUGACUGAGCCCUGGAAGUUACAUCAUUUAAAUAUCUUGAGAGUACAAGAGGUGGAAGCAAUUUCUCCCAGCUGGGUGGAGACAACAUCGCUAAUUCUUGAGAGAUGUGGAGACUGUGUUCCAGGAAGAGGGAAGACCUUGAGUGAGUCCCUGGAGGUGAGAGAACAGGGUUUUUACAGGAAUACGUGAAAAAUAAAGUUGUCAAGCUCUGUGUCAUGCAAUCAAAGCAAGUGGAACUAUUUUGUACUGCUGCACUUUCUGUUAAACAUAUGAUAAUCCAAGGACAAAUUUCCUAGAUUAUCUGGUACUAUGUCUCACUUUGAACACACUCUGCAAGGAUGUACAACGAUGACAGCGGUUCUCUUUAAAGGAUGAAAACAAGAAGAUCAUUUGUAUCUAAAAGAUAAUGUUCCAUCAAUUCCAUUUCCUGGUGGAUGAAUUGAUUUUCAGUUACCAAAUUACAAUAGAAGAGAAGGACUACCCGAGGUAUUAGCUGCCGUCCCUGGAGAACGUGAGACGCAGCAGCAGCUGUUCUUUGUAGACAGUGGGCUGCCUGCCUGUGCUGCAUUUAGGCUGCUGUGUGUUCUGGGUGAGUUAACACUGAGAGGAAAGCUCUGUUUCCAUCACCUGCUUCAAAGGGCUUCCCCAUGGCAUUUUGAUUUUGCUAAAUAAGAACGUAUGAAUCAGCCUGAUGAAACAAAACAUGCAGUUCAAAUUUUUGUUUCUGACAAAUCUCUCAGGCUUAAUUAUUAAAAGCGAUAUGUUAUUGGUAACAAUCAAAGUAUCAUCUAUGAUGACAUCUUCAACAAAACAGUGCUUUACUGCAGUGAAAAACAUUAUUGGCAAAACCACUGUGGGAUGCAAAAUGCAGUCACAAACCAAUGUCACAGAUAAUAUGGCACCACAGUCACCUUUGGCUUACGUAAUAUGCAUGUCUCCCUUCUCUGUCGGUUAUUUCAACCACUAAUGUAUGCGUUCUGAUGGACUUAUCCUUGGAUAUUGCAGACGAUGGGGAGUAAUAUGAGCUUCACAACAAAAAUAAAUAGGAAUCGUUACUUAUUUUCAUUUUCCUGUGUAGCCUUAAUGACUUUCCAGGUGGUAAAAUAAAAAUUCAAAACCACAUUAUCCAAGAGAACAUGCUUCCGGUGACUCUGUCUUUUGCCAAAUAACCCUGGGAGAAUCAUCUUUCCAGUAGGUUAAUGUUUCAUGCCACAAGAGAACAUCACCUUUCUGGGUGACAUCAAUUAUAAAGGUAUGAGCCCACAGCUCCUUGGCGUGAUCAACUUGUAGGAUAUUGAUAGCAGAGUACAAGGCCUUGCAUAGACAAAGCCUUGUGCAGAAUCUGUCUUAGACUUUUCCCAAAUCUUCAGUUAUUAUGUAUAGAUAGAGACAAGAAUUGAUCACUUGAGAGAGGGUAUAUGAUGAUCAGUUUAAUAGAAUUGACUCUUGUGGUCAGCUACUGAUUUUUUUCAGUGAGAUAUCAGAACAGUUGCUGGUAAGUUUCCAGUCCGUUUUAAGAGUCUGUUAAUGUGGCCUUUCCCCAUUUAGCCUGAGGUGAAGAGGAACACUGGUGUAUUCUGACAGAAAUGUGUGGUAUGGUAGAAAGGAUUUCGGUUCCAAGGUCAAUCACUUGCCAAUUUUUUGCCCUUGAAUUAGUCACUUCAUGUUUGUUUUCAAAAUAUCAGCUUUUCUAUUUACACUUGCCUAAGCAAUUCUGGUAAAGCUUCGUUGUGAUGCUUAGAUAAAGAACCAAAGGCUAUCCCUGACAUAAUAGUAUUUAUUAAAAAUUAAUUUUCCACUUUUUAUCACAACUUAUGUUCCUGUUUGCAAACUCCUUAAGCAGACUAUGUUCAUGUAGGCUCAACUCAUUCCCUGAAACACGUAAGGCUUGCAAAUCACAAUUGGAUUGUAAUACAAAGCUACAACUCAAUUAUCAGGGCUAAAGUUUUGUCAAGUUUAGGUUGCAGAAGGAGAGCUCUUCUUGUAACCUACAAUUUAGGAAAGAAUUUCCUCCUUAAAUAAUUGCUCAUCAUCUGCAAACAUUGUUCCAAGUCCUAGAACUCCUUUAGGAAUCUGUAGACACGUUCCAAUAUCUUAUUGUUCUGAUGGAAGGAAGACCCUGGACUUUCAAUGCUACCAUGUGAGUUUUAACCAAGUUGUUCACAAGCGACUAUUUCUUUACCUCCUGCUAUGGUUUGAAUGUGUCCCCUAAAGACGGUGUGUUGGAAACUUAAUCCCCAGGGCAACAGUGAGAGGAAGUGGAGGCUAAUAAGAGAAGACUAGGUCAUGAGGGCAAUGAGCGUUAUUGUGAGAGUGGGUUUGUUAUGAAAGAGAGUUUGGGCGUCUCUGGUCUCUUGCUUGCACACUGUCUUGCCCUUCCACCUUCUACCACUUCUGCCUUGGGAUGACGCACCUCAAAGACCCUUACCAGAUGCCAGUUCUGGGCUCUUGGACUUCCUAGCCUCCAGAAAUAUGAGCCAAAUACAUUUCCUGUACAUUUUAAAUCACCUAGUCUAUGCUAUUCUGUUACAGAAACAUAAAAUGGACUAAGACAUCCACCUCUGUAAUGAAUAGAAAUUGUUGACUGGGCGUGGUGGCUCACACCUGUAAUCCCAGCGCUUUGGGAGGCCAAGGCAGGCAGACCACUUGAGGUCAGGAGUUCGAGACCAACCUGGCCAACAUGGUGAAUUGCUGUCUCUACUAAAAAUACAAAAUUUAGCUGGGCAUGAUGGUGGGUGCCUGAAAUCCCCACUACUUGGGAGGCUGAGGCAGGAGAAUCACUUGAACCCAGGAGGCAGAGGUUGCAGUAAGCUGAGAUCACACCACUGCACUCCAGCCUGAGUGACAGAGUAAGACUCCAGCUCAAAAAAAAAAAAAAAAAAAAGGUUCAGAGAAAUGGCCAGAAGUCUUAUUGCCAGCCACCCUCCCUACAGUUCCAUAUUUAGCAAUUAUCAUAGGUUAGCUUCUAGAGUGCUGAUAAUGUCCUGUUCCAUGAUCUGACUAUUCUAGUUUGUGAAAAUUCAGUGAGCUAUAAACUAAUAUUGCCUAUUCUAUAUGUAUUUUAUAUUCCUGUAAAAAAUGCUUAUGAAAAAACCCACAGAAGCUUUCAAUGGCCAAAAACAGUAAAAAAUUGAGCAUCAGUAAGUAUCAUAACCACAGUGGAUUGAAUACACAAAUAUUUUUGACUCCCUUAGUUUUUAAAAAUAUAAAAGAUACAAAUAACUGACCUUAUUGGUCACCUUGUCAGGAUAAUACGGAAUCUAAUCAUUUGUUUGAAAACUGGUAAAAAGGGCCGGGCACCAUGGCUCACGUCCGUAAUCCCAGCACUUAGGGAGGCUGAGGCAGGUGGAUCGUGAGGUCAGGAAUUGAAGGCGAGCCUGGCCAAGAUGGUGAAACCCUGUCUCUACUAAAAAAUAUAAAAAUAAAUUAGCCAGGUGUGGUGGUAAUCCCACCUGUAAUCCCAGCUACUCGGGAGGCUUAGACAGAGAAUUGCUUGAACCUGGGAGGCGGAGGUUGCAGUGAACUAAGAUCACACCACUGCACUCCAGCCUGGGUGACAGAGCCAGACUCUGUCUUAAAAAAAAGAAAAAAAAAGAACAGAAAGAGAGAAAACUGGCAAUAAAUAAAUAAAUAAAUAAAAAUAAAAAAUAUCAAGCAUUUAGCUUGCCUUUACUUUAUGAACUUGUUCACAGUAUAAGCAAAGGUAGUGAGAAGUUUUUCGAUAGAAUUGACCAAAAUAAUAAAUGAAGAAUAUAUCAAUGAAUAAUAAUCAGAUUAUUACUAUUUUAUGACACCUAAUGAAACCGUGGAACAAGGUUAUAAACAUCAGUAAUUGCUCUCAUUGCUAAAGAAAGUUAACUGAAAUUUGUGCUUCCUGAUAAAAGGAACCAGACAACACCAUCUAAGAGGUGUGUUUGGUAAGCUUUGUUUUCAGAGUAAACCUUUAGUUCACACUACCAAUCUACAGAAAAUACAGGGGAUACAGGAACAUAUGAAAAGAUACCACAGGAAUGCAAUUAGCAAUUUUUCCACGAGAGUUUACAAGGCAAGGACCAGAACUGCUUGAACCCAGGAGACAGAAGUUGCAGUGAGCCAAGAUGGCACCACUGCACUCCGGCCUGGGUGACAGAGAG
rnacentral:lncRNA from 10 species